AUUUGUGCACCACUACUCAUACAUGAGAGAGAUCUAGACUGGAUAAUGGUUUUUACCAUUCUCAAAAGAUGGUUUCUAUUUUAACCCAUCCCUACCGCCCACUGUCGUUAUAUAAUAUUUCAUUGUUUGUUUGGAGUUGGUAAUUCUUCCACUAGUUUUGGGCAUUCAUGUUAAGAAAAGGUGCUUUCUUUCUAGUUGAGUUGUUCUUCCAGUUGUAUUGAAUCAUCUAUGUUUGGAACAUGUAACGUUGUAUGACAGGAUUGCUUGUACAUAUAAACAAACAAUGGCAGCUUCUAUUAUACUUCCAUCUUUCAUUUGACUUUGUUUGACUCUUUUUUCGUUUUCGGGUUUGCACCUCAAGAUAAAGGAAUUUCAGUACAAACUAUACUGGAACUCGGACCGACUCUACCUU